rnacentral:rRNA from 1 species
UUGACCUCGAAUCAGGUAGGACUACCCGCUGAACUUAAGCAUAUCAAAA